AGAUCAAUGGCAAAGUCUGAGAUCUGCUUCCUGCUACUGGAGACCGCACUUAGCAUGAAAGGACAGGGAUAGAGUAAGGGUGAAUUUAGUACUUGAGGAAGGAGCCAGACUGGGAGUUCUGAAGGCUCAAGUCUCCUAUUCAUCCAGAAAACAAGCACAGCUGCCUGCCAACUCUGUAGGAGAAGGACCACUUCUAAGGGAUAUUUAGUUUCUAUGGCCAGCUUAGUCCUAACCCCUUUCCUGAGACCACCAACACAUCAAUGAGCACUGGUUGGUGAGGUGAAUUUUGUGAUGUGGGUUCCUGUCCAUUAGAAAGUGAACUGAGACCACAAACUCCUUUCACAUAGAUUUACAAGCAGCCAGACUAAUGGCUGUUGACCACUCCUGAGCUGAGCUAAAAUUGAACGAAUGCCCUAGAUGUAAAAAACUCCCUUCCUAAUAGCAAAUAUAUCGAGCUAUUUCCUAGCUCGCUAUUUUGUAACUUCUUACACCAAGAAGAACUUCACUGACUCAUCGCUACUAUCCUUAUGCCUCCUACAGCAAGAGCACCCUUGGACAACUACAUAUUCCUCUUUCUAAAACAAUGAAAACCCACCCACACCAACACACCUAUCCUGAUUCUUUGCACUUGGGCUUGGUCCUACUCAUAUAUUUGCUAUGCAAACAGAGCUCCCAUUGAUCUGAAUGAGAGAUUGGACCCAUAAAGCAUAAACCUAAAAUAAGGCCACCUAGAUUUUUAGAAUACCAGCUAAAUUAAUGCUUGUUAACACUCAACAAAUGCUUUUAUACGGUUGUAUGAGGAGAAUGAAGAUUGCUAGGCUGGUUUUGACCCUGGGAAUCUCUCAUACCCCGAUGAAGUGCAUUGCCAACCCAUAUGCGAGCCUUGAAUGAGUCUGAAUAUGUAACUGGAGGUAUGCUGAUUCAUGUUUGUAGUGCAUCCUUUAUCACAGCCUACCACUCCAGCAGUACACACAAAAUAUUAAUAUCUGAUUGUAUCAAUAGUCAAAGCAAUUCUAUUCCUCUCUAUAUAGACCACCAGGUUUUUGUUUCUUCAGGUGCCCAUUAGGUGAUUAAAUAGUUGGUUUAAUUAAAAAACCUCACCAUUUUAAAAUAGUAUUCUAAUUUUUAGCCUGUGAAUUUUCUUUCUAAAACCUUGACAGUCAUGGUCACCACUCCCACAUCCUGGUUAUUUUCAUUAGAACUAAGUUUCACCAAGAUGUCCAGAAUACGUCUAUCGAUCUAUAGAAGUCCCUGAACAUCCCCAGGCAAUUCAGAAGUAAGCCUGUAAGGAAAAUGGUGGGGUGGGGGGGAGGGGAGGAGAGUGUUUAACUGGAGAAUUAAAAAUUUUAUGAAACAAAACCCAAGUCAGUGGGGUUUAUUUUGGUACGUUGAGGAAAGAUGUUUGUUUAUGUAUAAAUAGUGGUGUAACUUUGCAAAAAGGAUUGUAAAUAUGAGCAUUUCAUUUUUUCUGUUAAAAAUCUGGCACAAAGCCUACACUCUCUAAAUUGUGAUUUCAAUCUCCUUGGAUUGGCAUAAAGCCAGAACUGUUGGCUAAUUUCCAAUUUAAUACCACAGCAUCCAAUCGCAGCCUGUGUCAGCAUUUCCAUUAUAAACCUCUGUUUUCUGAGGUUUGUAAUUUGGCUUUAAAAAGGUUGGUUAACCCAAGCCCAAAUGUUAAAAUAAUAAAAAAAAAUCUGUUAAUGAGCUUGAAUAGGACUUUUGCCUGAGUAAGGAUUGCGGGAUUUGGUUUAUGUUGCAAUACCUGUUCACCCAGGAUAAUUAUCUACCUGGACACAUUGCACCAUAGCCAUCCAUGUCUUUAAGUAGGGGCUGCCCCAUUUAAGACCAUGACAUUGCACCCAUUUAUACCAGCUGUAAAUCUGGCCCAUUGAAUAUGAAUGAGCGACAUCAUUGUCUGCCAUGGUGUGAACUUCAAAAAGGUAGUUGUGUAUUUAUAACCUUCCUCUCCCCCUUUUUAUCUCUCUGUCAAGCCCCCACUAUUUAGUUCCCCUCAUAUGAAGUGUAGUUUGUUUAGAUUUGUCCUGCUAUCCAGUGCUUGGGUGAAGAAGGAUCAUUUUUACAAACAUUAUUAAAGUGCACCACACUCCCUCACUACUAUUGAGCAGUGAUUAGUUUUUGAAUGCCAUCACAUCUGUAUGCAGGACCAGGUACUGGACUUGCCGUGCAUGGCCUCUCUACUAUUUGUUGCAGUUUUAGAAGUUAGUGGUAAGAUGAUUUUGUCUGGUAAAUAGCUCUGUCACAAUGGGCUCAAUUCUGUUUUCCAUGAAGCCUGUUCGUGCGCAUGGGACUGACUGUUUGUAAAGGUGUUCAGCAUGGGGUGCUGGAACUAUUUGUAUAGUGGGGGUGCUGAGAGCCAUUGAACCAAAUCGUAAACCCUGGAUAUGAUGGAAGUAGGGGUGCUACCGCACCCCCUGGCUUGAAGUAGUUUCCAACACCUAUGGUUCAGCAAGGUUUGGGUCCUCCAUACCGGGUGACUUUAAGCCUAAUCUCCCUGCAUGUUUGCCUGUGUUUGUCAGAAGAGCCAUUAGGUGGGGCUCUCCUCACAAUGAAGAGGUUUCAUUUCAAACCUGUAGGACACAAGUAAACAGUGCAAUUAAUACUGUCAAACAUUAUCAAUAUAGUACAGAUAAAGUUGUCCCUAAAAAGAACCUAUUCUGUGAUUCAGGCACAUUUUGCAAUGAUGUAUAAUAAGAGGUGCUCAUAAUUAGCAUAUUUCUAUUUUAUAAAUAUUUAUCAAGGCUAAAUUAAGAGUACAGCUGAACGCUCUCUAUUAAAGUCAGCAUGUUUUGUGGCACAACUUCCCUUCAAACAGAAAUGAACAGACGUUCACUCUAGUCAGAGUUCCAUUUCAGGAUUUAGUGGAACUGCGCUAUAUCAGGGUUUGCGAUAACUAGGUUCCAUUUUACUAAGUAAGAGAGCAACCAAAAAACUAAAAAUAAAAGAGCAGAACCAGAAACAGCUUUGCUUGUCACCCUCGUAUUUUAGGUAAUACCUACAACUUAAUUUUACUCCAGCUGCACGUUUCUUUAUAUGGCAACAGACACUGCAAAGUUGCACAUUAAAGAGGAAGGAGCAUAUUUUUAGAAGCAUGAUGUAACACUGUACAUUCAAUCACUUCCCAGGGUUGCAGAAUCAGAACUAUAAGUUAGAAAAGAUUUCCUAAAUUUAAAUGAUGACACGCCACUGUUUUGACGCUAAAUAUCGAGCAAUAUCUGCCUAUUAACCACCUAUUUUUAGCAUGAUCUGACUAUUAAUUUGUCCAACAAUACUGCUGUUAAUUUAUCAAACAAUACUGCUGUUAUUCCUCUGCAUCAAGGUUAUGUACACAAUAGCGUUAUCUCUGUGCUUUAAUUUGACAAAUGCUCAAUUCUGAAACAAGGUGGGUGAGGUAAUAUCUUUUAUAGGACCAAAAUUUUGUUGGUGACACUGCAUUCUGUUGGAGAGCGAGGAGCACAUUGGAGGUAUAUUCUUCUCUCGGUCCACAGACAUUUAUGCUUGUAGCUCCUACUGCAACAGCGUUAUUCAGAGUUAUACACACAAAACGUGGCCCAUUGUGAAGAUACCACAUCCUGUUAUUUUUAAAGAUGAGUAUGCCUCUAAAUCUUUGCUACUGUCUUGCAUUGCCCUUAAGAGGAUGUAUGUACAGUAUUCUUGCUAAUAAACGCUCCACACCUCUGUAACAAAAGAAAGAGUAUCCUGUUCUAUUAUACCACAUAUUAAAAACUUUCAUGGUA